rnacentral:lncRNA from 1 species
CAAAGUGCUAGGAUUACAGGCGUGAGCCCCCGCGCCCUGCUGAAAAAGAGUGUUUUAAAAUAGAAAACUGUUUUUUAGGAGAAAUGCUCUUUAGCAACAACAACAACAAAAAAAAAACCCAACUUAAUCCCAAUACACAUUUUAAAGUAGUAUAUAGCAUGCAAUAGCUGAGGUAUAAACCUUCCUAUCCAUUCCUUAUUAAAUUAUUGCCGGAAGUUCAAGUCACUCCACUCAAAAGGACUUCACAUAAGUGGGAAAAUCGUUCUUUGAGAAGAAGGUAUAUGAUUUGAUAUUGUUUUGCCUAGAGAAGAAAAAGAAACAAACCCAUUAGAGUGUUGCAGAACCUGAAUGGUUUUUCAAGAAUUAUGUUGAUCAACUUUCUGUGUAGAGUAGCAAAUAACAAGUGUCACCGAUUUGAACAAUAGUGUAUUUGGGAAAUAGAGAAAGGGCUGCUUCCUGUCCUUUGAGAUCUUCACAGCAACCACAAACCCUAUCUUGUCAUCUGUGUUCCGGCAUGCCCAGGCACAUUUGACCAAUUCUAAACGCUAAACGUUACUCCAGCACCCAAGUGUAACCCGUCACGAGGUGAGUCACAAUGAAUCCUAACCAGGACCCCAGUGGGAAAUGUGCCUCCCCUUUAGAUUUCUGAUUUCACUUCAGUUUCCCGGUAGCACUUAUGGUGUCAUUGAUCACCCCUCCCCACCCCCCAUCUCUUUCACAAUUUUGUCUUCCGUGGGUCACGUAUGUUUUGGAGAUGUCUGACUUUCCCAAGAGCUGGUGUUGAAUUUCCACCCAGUGUUUCCAGGACGGCAGCCUGUGUGAAGUGCUAGGGAAAGCCUUUUCAUGCCUUGAAAAAUACACACAAGUAUUUCUCUUCCUGAGCUUCAAGGAGACUCUGCAUUCAAAAGACCACUCCCGGGCACUGCCUUCUACCAACUUCCCCAUCCAGCUCUGAUUGCAUCGGACCACUGUCUUCCCUCCAUGCCUCCAGCCCUGAGGUUGUCAACGGGGUGCUCCAGCCUCCAUGUGCACCCUGUGACUUCUUUCAUCCUAGUCCUUCUGACCCUCGUGGCUUCUCCUGCUCCAAGGCCAAGCUCGGGACCCUGUCAUCAUCCCCGGGGACAGGCCCCAUCUUAGAGAGGAUCCACCCAGCUCCCCGCUCCUGAGCCAUCUUCCAGCUAUCCCGCCUCGAGACUCCCACCGCACCUGCUCCUGGGCUGCAGCUGCACCCAACAAGUCAACAUGUGGAUUGCUUCUAGAAUUUGGAUAUUAUGAACACUGCUGUGCUGAACAUUCUUGUACACUUAUAUGGUUUGGCUGUGUCCCCACCCAAAUCUCAUCUUGAAUUGUAGCUCCCAUAAUUCCUAUGUGUCGUGGGAGGGACCCAAUGGGAGGUAAUUGAAUCAUAGGGGCAGGUCUUUCCCCUGCUGUCCUUAUGAUAGUGAAUAAGUCUCAUGAGAUCUGAUGGUUUUAUACAUGGGAGUUCCCCUGCACAAGCCCUCUUGUCUGCCGCCAUGUAAGAUGUGCCUUUGCUUCUCCUCUGCCUUCCACCAUGAUUGUGAGGACUCCCCAACCAUGUGGAACUGUGAGUCCAUUAAACCUCUUUCCUUUGUAAAUUACCCAGUCUUGGGUCUGUCUUUAUUAGCCGCAUGAGAACAUACCAAUUUAUACACAUCUUCUGGAACCCAUUUCUUUCUGGUAGGUACUAGGAGUGACACUGUCAGGCUGUAGGAUAUAAGAUGCUUCAACCUUAUAAGAUAAUGCCAACGGAGUGUAUGAAAGCCCCAUUAUGCUACAUCUACCCUAUUCUUGGUAUUGUCAGACUUUUAAAUGUUUGCUUCUCUGGUUGAUACGUAAUAGAAUUUUGUUGUGGUUUUAAUUUGCAUUUUUAAAAUUCCUAAUGAGGAUGGGC